rnacentral:tRNA from 1 species
GGGCCCGUAGCUCAGCAAGGGUAGAGCGGCGGCCUUCGGCGCCGCGGGGCGGGGGAUCAAGUGCCCCCGGGCCCG